UACGAAGGGGGCUAGCGUUGGUCGGAAUUACUGGGCGUAAAGCGCACGUAGGCGGCUCCGUAAGUUGGGGGUGAAAUCCCGAGGCUCAACCUCGGAAUUGCCUUCAAGACUGCAGGGCUUGAGUUCGGGAGAGGUGAGUGGAAUUCCCAGUGUAGAGGUGAAAUUCGUAGAGAUUGGGAAGAACACCAGUGGCGAAGGCGGCUCACUGGCCCGUAACUGACGCUGAGGUGCGAAAGAGUGGGGAGCAAACAGG
rnacentral:rRNA from 1 species